rnacentral:rRNA from 1 species
UACGAGGGGGGCGAGCGUUGUUCGGAAUUAUUGGGCGUAAAGGGCGCGUAGGCGGUGCGGUAAGUCACCUGUGAAACCUCUGGGCUUAACUCAGAGCCUGCAGGCGAAACUGCCGUGCUGGAGUGUGGGAGAGGUGCGUGGAAUUCCCGGUGUAGCGGUGAAAUGCGUAGAUAUCGGGAGGAACCCCUGUGGCGAAAGCGGCGCACUGGACCACAACUGACGCUGAGGCGCGAAAGCUAGGGGAGCAAACAGG